rnacentral:lncRNA from 1 species
AUGUUCCCCAUUCUUGAAUGCACCAACUUCUCUCCACUAGUCCCCAGCUUCUCCCUACUGGAUCGCUGCUUCUCUGUACUUGACCGACGCUUAUCUCCAGUGGAUCUCAACUCCUCUCCACUUGUCCCCAGAUUCUCAACCCUGGAUCCCCGCCUCUCUCCCCUAGAUCCCCUCCUCUCUGCCCUGGACCCACGCCUCUCUCUCCUGGGUACUAGCUUCUCUCCACUUGUCCCCAGAUUCUCNNNNNNNNNNNNNNNNNNNNNNCUCCUGGGUACUAGCUUCUCUCCACUUGUCCCCAGAUUCUCUACCCUGGAUCCCCGCCUCUCUCCCCUGGAUCCCCACCUCUCUCCCCUGGAUCCCCGCUUCUCUCCCCUGGAUCCUCCCCUCUCUCCCCUAGAUCCCCGCCUCUCUUCCCUGGACUCCAGCUUCUCUGCACUCAAAUACAGCUUCUCUCCACUUGAUCUCAGCUUCUCUCCACUCGAAUUCAGCUUCUCUCCACUGGAUCUCAGCUCCUCUCUACUCGAUCUCAGUUUCUCUCCACUGGGACUCAGUUUCUCUCCACUUGACCUCAGUUUCUCUCCACUUGACCUCAGUUUCUCUAAGCUUGACCUCAGUUUCUCUAAGCUUGACCUCAGCUCCUCCUCAUUCUGCUUUACUUCGUAUCCUCGGGCUCUCAAGACCUCUCCACUGGUUUCCACGUCAGUAAACUUCAACUUCUCUUUAAACUCAGGCCCCUUCCGAGAUCCCGCUACAGUCCCUGCACUCUCAGAUUCAGCCUCUACUCUGUGUCUGAAUUCUUGCUUUCCCCACAUCUCCUUUGAUAUGUCUUUCCGCAAACCGGCCGAAACCUGUAAUGCACUUGAUACACUGCGCACUCGUUUCACAUCCAUCCUUUCCGGACUCCGGCCUGACUUUCCUCUUAAGACUGUCUUUUCCACAUCUUCCAGUCUCCAGUUCUCAGACUCAAGCUUCAGGUCCCACGUUUUAGGUUUUUGCGUCUUUCUACCCAGGAGCUCCAUUUUCCUCCCAAUGACGAUGAGCCCGUUCCAGGGCAUCCAUAACGUUUCUCGCAUCUUCUGCGCCCCUCUGCUUCCCGGUUCCAGUUGCGACCGCCCGAAGGUCCUGGCCUGGCCUCGGGCGCCCUGGCAGCGGGCCUUGUCGCGCCCCUUUGCCGCCCUUUGUGGCUUACCCCGCCACUCCCUCCUGUCCCAGAGCGGAUAUCCAAACGGAGCCCCUUUCUCCGAAGACAUCACGCCUCUCCCCGGUCCCUAG